rnacentral:rRNA from 1 species
AUUGAACGCUGGCGGCAGGCCUAACACAUGCAAGUCGAGCGAGCGGCGGACGGGUGAGUAGUGCCUGGGAAUUGCCCAGUCGAGGGGGAUCACAGUUGGAAACGACUGCUAAUACCGCAUACGCUGGUAUUGCCCAGGUGGGAUUAGCUAGGUGGUGAGGUAAUGGCUCACCACGGCGACGAUCCCUAGCGGGUCUGAGAGGAUGAUCAGCCACACGGGAACUGAGACACGGUCCAGACUCCUACGGGAGGCAGCAGUGGGGAAUAGUGCACAAUGGGGGGAAGCCUGAUGCAGCCAUGCCGCGUGUGUGAAGAAGGCCUUCGGGUUGUAAAGCACUUUCAGCGGGGAGGCGUUACUCGCAGAAGAAGCACCGGCUAACUCCGUGCCAGCAGCCGCGGUAAUAC